GAUGAACGCUGGCGGCGUGCCUAAUACAUGCAAGUCGAGCGAACGGACGAGAAGCUUGCUUCUCUGAUGUUAGCGGCGGACGGGUGAGUAACACGUGGAUAACCUACCUAUAAGACUGGGAUAACUUCGGGAAACCGGAGCUAAUACCGGAUAAUAUUUUGAACCGCAUGGUUCAAAAGUGAAAGACGGUCUUGCUGUCACUUAUAGAUGGAUCCGCGCUGCAUUAGCUAGUUGGUAAGGUAGCGGCUUACCAAGGCAACGAUGCAUAGCCGACCUGAGAGGGUGUUCGGCCACACUGGAACUGAGACACGGUCCAGACUCCUACGGGAGGCAGCAGUAGGGAAUCUUCCGCAAUGGGCGAAAGCCUGACGGAGCAACGCCGCGUGAGUGAUGAAGGUCUUCGGAUCGUAAAACUCUGUUAUUAGGGAAGAACAUAUGUGUAAGUAACUGUGCACAUCUUGACGGUACCUAAUCAGAAAGCCACGGCUAACUACGUG
rnacentral:rRNA from 1 species